AUUGAACGCUGGCGGAAUGCUUUACACAUGCAAGUCGAACGGCAGCACGGACUUCGGUCUGGUGGCGAGUGGCGAACGGGUGAGUAAUGUAUCGGAACGUGCCCAGUCGUGGGGGAUAACGUAGUGAGAAUUACGCUAAUACCGCAUACGAUCUAUGGAUGAAAGCGGGGGAUCGCAAGACCUCGCGCGAUUGGAGCGGCCGAUAUCAGAUUAGGUAGUUGGUGGGGUAAAGGCCCACCAAGCCAACGAUCUGUAGCUGGUCUGAGAGGACGACCAGCCAAACUGGAACGGAUACACGGUCCAGACUCCUACGGGAGGCAGCAGUGGGGAAUUUUGGACAAUGGGCGAAAGCCUGAUCCAGCCAUUCCGCGUGCAGGAUGAAGGCCCUCGGGUUGUAAACUGCUUUUGUACAGAACGAAAAGGUUUCUACUAAUACUAGGAGCUCAUGACGGUACUGUAAGAAUAAGCACCGGCUAACUACGUGCCAGCCGCCGCUGUAA
rnacentral:rRNA from 1 species